GUCAGGACAAAGUCAGAGGACACUAAUGCAUAUGUAUACUUGGUGGAAAGAGAUUGAAAAGAAGGAAGUUGAAACACUGACACGAUACAAUACGGAAGGAAGCUCUGGGUCAUGGCUCUAGUGCUCUCUGCGGUCACAGCCAGGAAUCCCUGCGGCAGCAGGAAAAGGCAGGAAAAGA